UAAGAUUGCUAACAUCUACUCUUAGCUNGCCGCCACAGCUGUUGAAUGCAGGCUGCUGUGCAAAAGAUUAACUCAGCGCUUCUGCGCAGACCACCCCUUCCUCUUCUUCAUCCAGCACAGCAGGACCAGAGGGAUUCUGUUCUGCGGCCGAGUUUCUUCUCCAUGAGGAAACAGUCAUCCCUGAGCGCAGUCCUCUGCUUUCACCCUCUGACCCACUUUUCUUCCCACACUCCACCAUGUGCCUGUGACCCAAGUGACCUUAUCAGUGCAGUGUAACAAUUCAGAAAUAAAGGGCCA
rnacentral:lncRNA from 1 species